CUUGGGGGCUGGGGGUCCCUCAGCCCAGAUUGCAAGAGGGCGCAGGCCAGGCCGAGGGACCCACCAAUGCAUG
rfam:Myotis brandtii contig215935, whole genome shotgun sequence.